GGAGGGAGUAAAUAUCUGCUGGGUGAGUCAGGAGUGGCUCAGCAUGGCGGAGGCCCAGCGUCUCCCAGCUGUCUCUGUGGAAUGAGGGAUGAAUUCUCGCUGGGCUCUCCCUCUCUCCUGCCUUAUCUCUCCCACGCUGCUGCGUUUGAUUGGGCCGCAGAGGGGAGUAGAGCACAAAUGUCCACGGUGUUUGCAGGUGUCGAGGUAAUGUCUGGUACAGGGAGAUCUUCAGUGGAAAUGUGACACUGCUCUGGGGAACAUGUCUCACCAAAUAUACUCAAAUCUGAACAGCACCAGUCUGGGCCUCUUCGAGAUGUCAGCAGCUCCUAAUUUGUGCGUCACGUUUCAGAGCGAAGGACGUUCACGCAGUGGCAGCUUCGGAAUUGACAAUUAUUCUUGUUUUCAUAUGGAGAGGCAUCAGUGAACCCACAGCGCGGUGUCACGACUCAUGCUAAUCAGCAUUUUGUAAAUCUUAGUCUGAACGGGAAACUAGGAAUGCUUAACUAAUCCAAGACCAAUCCUAACGUGAGCGCCUCAAAGCAUAUUACACGGCUAAAGCCAGACUUAUCAGCAGUGAGUGGCUCUACAGGAUUCUCUACACACGUGCAUUUCAAAAAAAAAAAAAAUCCAAAAAAGAAACAAAGGAAUGAGGCAGUAAAGCAUGCUCUGCCUGAGGAUCAUAAGUUACAGGUGCAUCUUUUAAAAAUGUAAUAUCUUUAAAAAGUUUCUUUAUUUCAGUAAUUCAUUUCAAA
rnacentral:lncRNA from 1 species